GCCAAGCCGUAAAAAAUUUACUUACACAAACAACGCCAGGGUACUACGAGCUCUAGCUUAAAACCCAAAGGACUUGACCGUGUUCCACCCAACUAGAGGAGCCUGUUCUAUAACCGAUGACCCACGUUACACCCAACCACUCUUUGCCUUUCAGCCUGUAUACCUCCGUCGCAAGCUUGCCAUGUAAACGCGCAACAGCAAGCCUAAGGGCCCUUUCACCAACACGUCAGGUCAAGGUGCAGCUUACAGGGUGGAAAGUAAUGGGCUACAAUUUCUAUCUUAGAACAAACGAAAUUCUACAUGAAACAUAGAUCAUGAAGGCGGAUUUAGCAGUAAAUAAGGAAUAGAGAGCCUUAUUAAACCUGGCCCUGGAACGUGUACAAACCGCCCGUCACCCUCUUCAACAUAUAUUCACCUAGCUUCCUAACCCACACCAAAAACUUUAGAAGAGGUAAGUCGAAACAUGGUAAGUGUACUGGAAAGUGCACUUGGAAUAACAAAAUGUAGCUUAAUAAAAGCCCCUCGCUUACACCGAGGAGUUGUCUGUUGCAGUCGGAUCAUUUUGAGCCCCAUUUCUAGCCCACAACACCUCUAAUACCAUUACCUCACCAACCAAUUAAGAUAAAACAUUUUAACUCUCAAGUAGAGGCGAUCAAAACUUAUCUCGGCGCUCCAGAAAUAGUACCGCAAGGGAAAACUGAAAUAAAAUGAAACAAAUAAAGCCCUAAAUAGCAGAGCCACCACCUCGUACCUUUUGCAUUAUGGCCUAGCUAGUCCAAUCAAGCAAGAUGAAAACCUCAGUUUGACCCCCCGAAACUAAGCGAGCUACUCCAAAACAGCUUUAUGAGCCAACCCUUCUCUGUUGCAAUAGAGUGGGAAGAUUUUCUAGUAGAGGUGAUAAGCCUACCGAGCUUAGAAAUAGCUGGUUACUCGGAAAAAGAAUCUUAGUUCUGCCUUAAACUACACCAUGACAACAACCACCUAAAGUUUAAGAGUUAUUCAACUAGGGCACAGCCUAUUUGAAAAAGGGUACAACCUAGAUAAUAGGGUAAACUUCUGCGACCGUUAUAGUAAGUGGGCCUAAGAGCAGCCACCUUAUAAAAAGCGUUAAAGCUUAACACAACGCACCCGCUAAUACCAAUAAAAACCAUGAACCCCCCCCCCCCCCCCACCGAGUGAUCCCAUAAAUUUAUGGUAGACACAAUGCUAGGACUAGUAACCAGAACACAAAGUUCUCCAAAAUGAAAACAUAAGCCAAAACGGAUCAACCAUUGGCCAUUAACAGAAUUGAACCCACUGCAACAACUCAAACAAGAAAACCCUGCACCUCCACCUGUUAACCUCACACUAGAUCAUUAAUGGAAAGAUUUAAAGGAAAAGAAGGAACUCGGCAAAUAGUAACCCCGCCUGUUUACCAAAAACAUCGCCUCUUGACCCCUAUAAGAGGUCUAGCCUGCCCAGUGAUAAAUUCAACGGCCGCGGUAACCUAACCGUGCGAAGGUAGCAUAAUCACUUGUUCCCUAAAUAGGGACUUGAAUCAACGGCACCACGAGGGUUACACUGUCUCCUUUCCCUAAUCAGUGAAACUGAUCUUCCCGUGAAGAAGCGGGAAUAAAACCAUAAGACGAGAAGACCCCAUGGAGCUUCAAACUAAACGGCACCUCAACUUCCCACCCCCCUGCAUAAUAGAGCAAUGCCUAAAAGUUUUGGGUUGGGGCGACCGCGGAGUAUAAAAUAACCUCCACAACGAAAAGA
rnacentral:misc_RNA from 1 species